rnacentral:rRNA from 1 species
AGCCGGUCCCAAGGGUAUGGCUGUUCGCCAUUUAAAGUGGUACGUGAGCUGGGUUUAAAACGUCGUGAGACAGUUUGGUCCCUAUCUGCCGUGGGCGUUGGAAGUUUGAGGGGGGCUGCUCCUAGUACGAGAGGACCGGAGUGGACGAACCUCUGGUGUACCGGUUGUCACGCCAGUGGCAUUGCCGGGUAGCUAAGUUCGGAAGAGAUAACCGCUGAAAGCAUCUAAGCGGGAAACUUGCCUCAAGAUGAGACUUCCCGGGAACUUGAUUCCCCUAAAGGGUCGUUCGAGACCAGGACGUUGAUAGGCUGGGUGUGGAAGCGCAGUAAUGCGUUAAGCUAACCAGUACUAAUUGCCCGUGCGGCUUGUCCCU